UGUGAGUUUUGUGACAGUUUU
rnacentral:piRNA from 1 species